rnacentral:rRNA from 1 species
UACGGAGGGGGCUAGCGUUGUUCGGAAUUACUGGGCGUAAAGGGCGCGUAGGCGGUUUGUACAGUCAGACGUGAAAUUCCUGGGCUCAACCUGGGGGCUGCGUUUGAUACGUGCAGACUUGAGUUCGGAAGAGGGUCGUGGAAUUCCCAGUGUAGAGGUGAAAUUCGUAGAUAUUGGGAAGAACACCGGUGGCGAAGGCGGCUCUCUGGACCGAGACUGACGCUGAGGCGCGAAAGCGUGGGGAGCAAACAGG